rnacentral:rRNA from 1 species
AGGGGAACAACAGCUGGAAACGGCUGCUAAUACCCCAUAGGCUGAGGAGCAAAAGGAGGAAUCCGCCCAAGGAGGGGCUCGCGUCUGAUUAGUUAGUUGGUGAGGCAAUGGCUUACCAAGGCGACGAUCAGUAGCUGGUCCGAGAGGAUGAUCAGCCACACUGGGACUGAGACACGGCCCAGACUCCUACGGGAGGCAGCAGUGGGGAAUUUUCCGCAAUGGGCGAAAGCCUGACGGAGCAAUGCCGCGUGAAGGCAGAAGGCCCACGGGUCAUGAACUUCUUUUCUCGGAGAAGAAAAAAUGACGGUAUCUGAGGAAUAAGCAUCGGCUAACUCUGUGCCAGCAGCCGCGGUAAGACAGAGGAUGCAAGCGUUAUCCGGAAUGAUUGGGCGUAAAGCGUCUGU